CUCUCCACAGUGCUUGAAGAAAGCUUACCCCCUCUCAAAGAUUAAACCAAAUAUAUACUUUUUACUGUGCAUUAACUAAGAAAUAGUGGUCACAGCAAAAGGGCAUUUCCUGGGGAUUACUGGCUCACCAGUGUGUGCCUCUGGGAAGAGACUGGCUCCAGCUUCCAUAUCGUCCCCCAUCAGGUGUUUAUGCACACUGAUAAGAUUCUCCAGAGCUUUUUCUUCUCCAGAUUGAACUGUCCAAGCUCUCUCAGACUCUCCUUGUACCUUAGGUACUGCAAGCCCUUAGUCAUCCCUCUGGACCUUCACUGGACCUGCUGCAGUAUACCCAGGUCUCUUGUACUGGGAAGACCAUGGCUGGACUCAGUGCUCCAGGUUUGUUUGAACAGAGAGAAAAGAUCACCUUAUAUGACCUGCAGGUAAUGCUCAGCAUAGUGCAGCCCAAUGUACUUCAAGGGUACAUUGCUGGCCCAUGGUUAACUUGCUGCUCUCCAGGAAUAUCACAGCAUUUUCUACAGCAUUGCUUUCCAACCAGCUGGCCUCAACCUUUCCUGGUGCAAGAGGUUGUUCCUCCUCAUGAGGAGGACAUGGCAUUUCCCUUUAUUUAACUUCAUGAGUUUCCUGUUAGCCUAGUUCUUCAGUGUGUCAAGGUCCUUUUGAAUGGAUGCACAAGCAUCUAGUCUAGCAAACUCUUUUCUCAGUUUUAUUGUAUCUGCAAAUUUGCAGAGGAUUCACUCUGUUGAGUUGCCCAGGUCAUUAAUGAAGGUGUUAAAAUCUACUGGCCCCAGUAUCUUCCCCUGAGGUACAUAGCUAUGACUGGCCUCCAGCUGGACUUCAUGAUCACAGCCUGUUAAGCCCAGCAAUUCAGACAGUUUACAGUCCAUCUCACUGUCCAUUCAUUUAGUCUGCAACUCAUUAAUUUCUGGAGUGUUAUGUAGGUGACAAUAUGGGAGAAUGUGGUGAAAGUCUUGCCAAAGCUGAGAUAAAUCACAUCCACUGUACUCUCCUCAUACACCAAGCCUGUCAACUCAUCACUGCAAUCUAACAGGUUGGCCAAGCAUGAGACAACUUCAGUUAAAAUCUUGCUGACUUGAUUGGAGAGAGCUGAAUAACACCUAUGAAAUAAUUUAUAUAAUCACAGAAUCAUUGUAUCACUAAGGUUGGAAAAGACCUCCAGGAUUUUCCAGUCCUACUGUCCACCUACUCUCAAUAUUUCCCACUAAACCAUGUCCCUCAGUACAACAUCUAGACAUGUACUGAACACCUCCAGUGACAGUGACUCCACCACCUCCCUGGGCAGCCCUUUCCACUGCCUGACCACUCUUUUGAAGAAGUUUUUCCUAUUGUCCAACCUGAAUCUCCCUUGGCUAAACUUGAGGCCACACCCUCUAUAUUAUAUUUAGCUUCCUGAUAAAAAAAAUAUCCUUGAGCAAACUAAGUGGGGUUCUCCCAACCAAUGCAUCCCAUAUCCUGUGGUUGGAUCAUGUCUGCAUGUAAUUUGCCUGAUUUCUUAUAACGUUAAUCUUAUCUUCUAAACCUUAGUCAUUCUUAGUGGCUACCUACUUAUAUAAUAUUUUUAGAGUGAGGUUUCAAGUGAAUCUCAUCAAAAUUGGCUUUCAUAGAAUCACAGAAUGGUUUUAGUUGGAAAGGAGCAUAAAGAUCAUCCAGUUUCAAUCCCCCUACCAUGGCAGGAACACCGCACACUAGGUCAGGUUGCCCAGGGCCCCAACCAAUGUGCUCUUGAGCACCAUCAGGGAUGGAGCAUCCACAGCUUCUCUGGGCAGCCUCUGCCAUUGUCUCACCAUUAUCUGAGUAAAGAAGUUUUUU
rnacentral:lncRNA from 1 species